GUCGAAGUGACCAGGCCGCUGCAACUGUUUAUCAAAAACACAGCACUCUGCAAACACGAAAGUGGACGUAUAGGGUGUGACGCCUGCCCGGUGCCGGAAGGUUAAUUGAUGGGGUUAGCGCAAGCGAAGCUCUUGAUCGAAGCCCCGGUAAACGGCGGCCGUAACGAUAACGGUCCUAAGGUAGCGAAAUUCCUUGUCGGGUAAGUUCCGACCUGCACGAAUGGCGUAAUGAUGGCGGCGCUGUCUCCACCCGAGACUCAGUGAAAUUGAAAUCGCUGUGAAGAUGCAGUGUACCCGCGGCAAGACGGAAAGACCCCGUGAACCUUUACUAUAGCUUGGCACUGGACUCUGACACUAUCUGUGUAGGAUAGGUGGGAGACUUUGAAGCGUGGUCGCUAGACUGCGUGGAGUCGACCUUGAAUACCACCCUGGUGGUGUUGGGGUUCUAACGCUGACCCGUUAUCCGGGUUGCGGACAGUGUCUGG
rnacentral:rRNA from 1 species